AGGACGACCAGCCACACUGGCACUGAGAUACGGGCCAGACUCCUACGGGAGGCAGCAGUGAGGAAUAUUGCGCAAUGGGGGAAACCCUGACGCAGCAACGCCGCGUGUGGGAAGAAGGCCUUCGGGUCGUAAACCACUUUUGCACGGGACGAAAAAGGGAUAUCGAACAAAUAUCCCCGAUGACGGUACCGUGAGAAUAAGCCACGGCUAACUCUGUGCCAGCAGCCGCGGUAAGACAGAGGUGGCAAGCGUUGUUCGGAAUUACUGGGCGUAAAGAGUCUGUAGGUGGUUUGUCAAGUCUUUGGUGAAAGGCCGUAGCUUAACUAUGGGAAUGCCAAAGAGACUGGCAGGCUGGAGGCUGGGAGAGGGAAGCGGAAUUUCUGGUGUAGCGGUGAAAUGCGUAGAUAUCAGAAGGAAGGCCGGUGGCGAAGGCGGCUUCCUGGAACAGUCCUGACACU
rnacentral:rRNA from 1 species